GUGUUAUUACAUUUAACAUGAACAGCAGCACUAUUGAACAGUUCUCUUUUUGAAAUGUAAUGUGAAUUGGAUAGCAGCUUGAAAUGUCUUACAAUACAAAAUCCCUAGGUCAACUAAUGCUGCAUGAUAUUGGGGAAACUGCGUUUUCUUUUCAUGUUCAUACUAUUACAAUUUUUAUUAUUAUUUGGGUCUUCAAGUUUAUUUUCUUUUACAAAUAAGAACCCCUUAUACAUUCAAAGCUACAUUUAAUUUGCAUCAAGAGCCCUGUGACAUUAACUUCUAAGCAAAGAACACUUCAUCUUCAUACACUGCAUGUGAUCCCUUCUCUCUCUCUCCCUCUACACUUUAUGUGCUCAUGGACUAACACACGUCCUGGGAUAUUACCAUGGCACUUGUACACAUAGCAAAAUUAAUGCUUAGAUCAUACCAUGCAGCCCUACAGUCAAACGCAUUUACACUAAGUUGGUGCAGUUUUUUGAGUGAAUAAGAAUUGAAUUCCAAGUUUCUUAUAUUGUCAACUUAAAAUGCAAAAAAACUUGAAUCUAUAUCCUUUUCCACUGUUGUAAUUUUUUUCUGAUUCCUUCUUUCGUCUCACUUUUUUUGUAAAAUCUUCAGUUUUGCUGAUUCUUUGAUUUGUAAGAUGUUGCAGAGUUUGUUAUGGCACACAUUUUACUCUCGACCUUCUUUUUAGGUCGUUAACAUGGACUACGGCAUGAAAGACGAGAACAGCAAAAAUGCAUCCAGGAUUGGCACAACGUGCUUUUCUGAGCAGCUGAUCAGGGUCUUCUGUAAGAAGACUGAUAGAAAGAGUGUGAAGGCUGCAAAAAAGCACUUUGAACAGUGGAAGUUCGAGAAGAAGCCGCAUCUGCUUGGACCUGAGGGUAAUUAAAAGACCAUGGAAAUGACUCAACAACAUGAAUAACACAGAAUUAUUUCUUAUUCAGACUCAGGACUCUUUCUAGCUUUUAUCAUAUACAUGUUGUAUUGUUGUUUUAAAUUGUUGACUCCCUUCUGCAUCUGCAUAAGUUCCAACAACAUACAACAUGAUUUUAUUGAGGACAAAGAUAAAUCAUAACAUAUAAUAAUAUAAACUGAUACAUAGACACACAUGACACUGGAUACAUUACUUACACAGCUAGCAGCUGUAUGGCUGUUGAAUACCAUUUAGGUAAAGAAAGCCAUUAUUGAAAUCCAACAAUCAUUGUCUCAAACUGAAUAUAUAAACUGCAUGUUUCUGAAUUGAUUCAGCUUUUGGUCACAUUUAUGCUUCUUUGUAGGUUGUGAAUUCUUUUUGGUCGGGGAAAGAUGUAAAGCACUCCCAACAUGUGUAAUGGAGUGAAUAUUUCACUUGUGGUUUUAUUUAGGGAUUUAUAAUACUCAGUGGUGUUUUAGUUUUGAUGUUAAUCGUUUGAAGAUUGAGGACAUGAGAUUAGAUUAUUUGUCUUUGAGUGGUGUUUAAUGAGAGAUGAUCAUGAGUGAUGUUUUGGUGACUGGUAUUAUCUUAUAUUACUUUGUAUCUGCAGCAUUUAUUAUCACAAUACAAUUUUAAUCUGUUUUAAAAUGAGUCUUAUUUUGGGCAUGUUUUAUAAUGUGCUCUUCUUUUGAGUUUAUGAUUCUUACUUUCAAAACUGGAACUUGUGAAAACCUUUAUUUGCAUCUAAAAACUUGAAAUUCGAAUUGAAAAAUAUCUUUUAAACGUAUCCAUCAACUACCUUUCUUCAAUGGAUGAUGAAUGUGUUUAAAUGUAUGACACACUUUAAGUGAAGCUAUAAUUGUUUGACGAUUGGUUCUUACAUAAAGCAUCUAUGAGAACCUUUCAAGUGUAUUCCUGUUGUGAUGGGUUCAUAUCUGAUAAAAUCUGCAUGUAUUCAAAAUAAACAUCAGAGAAAAUCCUGAGUUCAA